ACACGACUACAUUAGAUACCCCUGUAGUCCUAGCCGUAAACGAUACUCGCUAGGUGUCGGCCACGGUGCGACCGUUGUCGGUGCCGUAGGGAAGCCGUGAAGCGAGCCACCUGGGAAGUACGGCCGCAAGGCUGAAACUUAAAGGAAUUGGCGGGGGAGCACGACAACGGGUGGAGCUUGCGGUUUAAUUGGAUUCAACGCCGGAAAUCUUACCGGGACCGACAACAACAUGAAGGCCAAGCUGAAGACUUUGCCGGAUUAGCUG
rnacentral:rRNA from 1 species